UGUUUUUAAUUCUUUAUAAAUGUCACUCAAAGCUCACUGAGAAACUGAAUAUUUUUGCGACAGUCUGUGAGCGAGAGCCAUAUACCAGAUAGUCUCUUGGAGAGACUUAUCAGUGGUACUAUCGAAUUCCCACCAGCUUGUGCCAUUGUAGGUGGAAUAUUAGCACAGGAAGUGAUCAAAGCUGUAUCAGGGAAAGGAGACCCGGUAAAGAACUUCUUCUACUAUGAUGCUCAAGAUGGAAAAGGUGUGAUGGAAGACAUCUCCAACUCUUUUACCUCUUAACCACUGAGUCCUGAAUUUUCAUCUGACUCUGUGUUUCUAUAAACCGAAUUCUGUGUUCAUUCUACUCUUAAUUCAUAUUGAAGUAAGAAAAAAAGAGAGGAUUCACACGAGCCAUUGAAGCAGCAGAUGAGUGAGCUUGAAAGAGAAUGGGACAGCCAAAAGCUCAUGUUCAUUAAAACCCUUGACAACAACUUAGCAACUUCUCUGUGCAAGAUUCUCUCAACUUCUCAAGAAGGCUCAAGUCUGAGGCCGAGGGAAAGCCUGUUGAAAUCAAAGAAGCCAAUUGUCGUGAAGUAUUGUCUUAACCAUGUUACAUACCUCAUUGAGCAACUAAUAGUUUAAUAAUUAUAUUAGGUAACAAAAACUAUAAAGUGUAAUUGAAUCAUGCAGUCUAACAUUGUAUGAAGCAUAAAUAUAAAGUUUUAUUUUUCGAAAA